rnacentral:rRNA from 1 species
GACGAACGCUGGCGGCGUGCCUAAUACAUGCAAGUAGAACGCACAGUUUAUACCGUAGCUUGCUACACCAUAGACUGUGAGUUGCGAACGGGUGAGUAACGCGUAGGUAACCUGCCUGGUAGCGGGGGAUAACUACUGGAAACGAUAGCUAAUACCGCAUAAUAUUAAUUAUUGCAUGAUAAUUAAUUGAAAGGUGCAAUUGCACCACUACCAGAUGGACCUGCGUUGUAUUAGCUAGUAGGUGAGGUAACGGCUCACCUAGGCGACGAUACAUAGCCGACCUGAGAGGGUGAUCGGCCACACUGGGACUGAGACACGGCCCAGACUCCUACGGGAGGCAGCAGUAGGGAAUCUUCGGCAAUGGACGAAAGUCUGACCGAGCAACGCCGCGUGAGUGAAGAAGGUUUUCGGAUCGUAAAGCUCUGUUGUAAGAGAAGAACGGGUGUGAGAGUGGAAAGUUCACACUGUGACGGUAUCUUACCAGAAAGGGACGGCUAACUACGUG